UACGUAGGGUGCAAGCGUUGUCCGGAAUUAUUGGGCGUAAAGAGCUUGUAGGCGGUUUGUCGCGUCUGCUGUGAAAUUUCGGGGCUCAACCCCGAACUUGCAGUGGGUACGGGCAGACUAGAGUGUGGUAGGGGAGACUGGAAUUCCCGGUGUAGCGGUGAAAUGCGCAGAUAUCGGGAGGAACACCAGUAGCGAAGGCGGCACUCUGGGCCGGAACUGACGCUGAGGAGCGAAAGCGUGGGGAGCGAACAGG
rnacentral:rRNA from 1 species